rnacentral:rRNA from 1 species
UCGGGAAUUUUGGGCAAUGGGGGCAACCCUGAUCCAGCCAUGCCGCGUGAGUGAAGAAGGCCUUCGGGUUGUAAAGCUCUUUCGGACGGAACGAAAUGGUCAGGGUGAAUAUCCCUGACUGAUGACGGUACUGUAAGAAGAAGCACCGGCUAACUACGUGCCAGCAGCCGCGGUAAUACGUAGGGUGCGAGCGUUAAUCGGAAUUACUGGGCGUAAAGGGCGCGUAGGCGGCAAUUCAAGUCAUCUGUGAAAUCUCCGGGCUUAACUCGGAACGGUCAACUGAUACUGUCACACUAGAGUACAGAAGGGGCAAUCGGAAUUCUUGGUGUAGCGGUGAAAUGCGUAGAUAUCAAGAGGAACACCUGAGGCGAAGGCGGGUUGCUGGGCUGAUACUGACGCUGAGGCGCGAAAGCUAGGGUAGCAAACGGGAUUAGAUACCCCGGUAGUCCCUGAGCGGGCUGGCAAGGCGCAU